AGUAUGUUAUUGACAUAAUAGGUACCAUUUUCAUCUUCAAAUUGACUGCUUAAUAUUAAAUACCUGAUCUCAGUAACAAAUAUUAGAGCAAGAUAAAUACUUAAGUGAAAUAAAUAUCUUUGAACCAUGGUUGUUCAUUAAGUCAGCUAAUCUGUUUAUUAAUGAACAUAAAUCUUCAGAAACAUAAAAAUACUUGAUUAUAGAGAUAAUGUUAAUUUAAUUAUUCAUAUAAAUGAGUAUUAAAGAUCAAUUUAGCUCUGACUACAUAACUUUUUUAGGUAUACAAUUGUUCAAAAAACAAACCUUAAAAAGUAUGCAUUAAAUUACCAUAAUAAUUAUGUCUGAAUAAAAAGAUAACCGAGACAAACAUGAAUGUAACAGCAACACAACAAUACAAUAUAAAAAGAACAAGUAAACAUAACACUUAUUUACCGGCCAGGAGAACAUUAGAAAGUUUAUUGUCCACCAAGGCACCAACUAGUUCUCCGACAAGUAGCAGAUUUCUUCAAAUUCUAAUUUUGAUAUAUUGACUGACCAGGGAUGGGCACGAUUACUGACAAAUGUAAUCGAUUAAUAAUCGAUUACAGAAGAUUUUUGUAUGAUAAUUAAUGUUCACAAUCGAUUACUUUAUCAAAAGUAAUUACAUUACUUUUCGAUUACUGUCAAUUACAUACUUCAACAUUUCAACAAAAAAUAACAUGAGUAAAACACAAUUAUAUUGCUCAACAUUUGUAUAUAUAGUUGAAAUUA
rnacentral:lncRNA from 1 species